rnacentral:rRNA from 1 species
UAGGGAAUCUUCCGCAAUGGGCGAAAGCCUUACGGAGCAACGCCGCGUGAUUGAUGAAGGUCCUCGUAUCGUAAAACUCUGUUAUUAGGGAAGAACAAAUGUGUAAGUAACUAUGCACGUCUUGACGGUACCUAAUCAGAAAGCCACGGCUAACUACGUGCCAGCAGCCGCGGUAAUACGUCGGUGGCAAGCGUUAUCUGGAAUUAUUGGACGUAAAGCGCGCGUAGGCGGUUUUUUAAGUCUGGUGUGAAAGCCCACGUCGCAACCGUGGAGGGUCAUUGGAAACUGGAUAACUUGAGUGCAGAAGAGGAAAGUGGAAUUCCAUGUGUAGCGGUGAAAUGCGCAGAGAUAUGGAGGAACACCAGUGGCGAAGGCGACAUUCUGGUCUGUAACUGUCGCUAAUGUGCGAAAGCGUGGGGAUCAAACAGG